CAAUUUGAUUCUAGUGCUUUUAACUUUUCUCACCUGGAAUAUUACAUGGUCAAGUACACAAAAUUGUCCGCUUGAUGCUCAGAUUGAAAGGAAUGUUUAGGAAUAAUAACUGCUAACAUUGACCAAGCCAUUCUAUUCUGUGGACCGUGUAAAAUGGAAAGAAAUCAUGGUUAGAAGUUACAUCCUCCAUGAUUGGACCUUUUUCAGCUGCUAUGCUAAUCCUUGAAUAGAAAGACACCUUGGGACCUAACUAUUAGUCGUCAUGUAGGAACUAGCAAUUUCCUAG
rnacentral:misc_RNA from 1 species